CAUGGGUUUAUUUUUAAGAAAAUGGACCACAUGGGCACUGAGGACUUAUUUGGGGAAUCUCCUCCGGCCACAUCUACACCGAAGGGAGGAAUAAGAAAACAAAUUUUUCUAUCAACUGAUUUCAACUCACAAUUAUUAAAUUCGCAGCCAAGCUAAUGUGCCUCAAUCGCUCUCAAUUCGACGACGGCUUCUAGCUCUAAUAAAGAAAUAUUGGGCAUGUUGGGGCUUAUAUUUCAAAAGCAAUGUAGCUUGGAAUCACGAUUAGACAGGCUGGGAGAAAACGUAAUUUAUUAUUUUACACUUUUGCAUAUCCUAUGUUUUUAAUUGAAGUUAUCUUUUUAUAUAUGUAUGUACAUACGUAUGUCUUUCAGAUGGUUCCGAAAACUGACGUCUUGGUUCACCAUAAGACUUUAAGGGAGUCGAAAGUCCUCGCCAAAAAGGCCCACCACAUAAUAUGUAAAAUUAGUGGUGAGACGGGAGAUGACCUUCAUACCGAGC